rnacentral:rRNA from 1 species
UACGUAGGGGGCGAGCGUUGUCCGGAGUUACUGGGCGUAAAGCGCACGCAGGCGGUCUGCUAAGUUUGGAGUGACAGUUGGUGGCUUAACUGUCAAAGUGCUUCGAAAACUGACAGACUUGAGGGCUUCAGAGGGACACGGAAUUCCGGGUGGAGUGGUGAAAUGCGUAGAUAUCAUUUGGAACGCCAAUGGUGAAAACAACUCGCUGGGGGUGUGCUGACGCUGAGACACGAAAGCCAGGGGAGCGAACGGG